AACGAACGCUGGCGGCAGGCCUAACACAUGCAAGUCGAACGAGAAGCCACCUUCGGGUGGUGGAAAGUGGCAGACGGGUGAGUAACACGUGGGAACGUGCCCUUUGGUUCGGAACAACUCUGGGAAACUGGAGCUAAUACCGGAUAAGCCCUACGGGGGAAAGAUUCAUCGCCGAAGGAUCGGCCCGCGUCUGAUUAAGCUGUUGGUGAGGUAAUGGCUCACCAAGGCGACGAUCAGUAGCUGGUCUGAGAGGAUGAUCAGCCACACUGGGACUGAGACACGGCCCAGACUCCUACGGGAGGCAGCAGUGGGGAAUAUUGGACAAUGGGCGCAAGCCUGAUCCAGCCAUGCCGCGUGAGUGAUGACGGCCUUAGGGUUGUAAAGCUCUUUCGCCAGGGACGAUAAUGACGGUACCUGGAUAAGAAGCCCCGGCUAACUUCGUGCCAGCCGCCGCCGUAA
rnacentral:rRNA from 1 species